rnacentral:rRNA from 1 species
UACGUAGGGGGCAAGCGUUGUCCGGAAUCAUUGGGCGUAAAGCGCGUGUAGGCGGCUCGGUAAGUCCGCUCUGAAAGUCCAGGGCUCAACCCUGGGAUGCGGGUGGAUACUGCCGGGCUCGAGUCCGGAAGAGGCGAGUGGAAUUCCCGGUGUAGCGGUGAAAUGCGCAGAUAUCGGGAGGAACACCAGUGGCGAAGGCGGCACUCUGGGCCGGAACUGACGCUGAGGAGCG